rnacentral:rRNA from 1 species
UGGGGAAUAUUGCACAAUGGGCGCAAGCCUGAUGCAGCCAUGCCGCGUGUGUGAAGAAGGCCUUCGGGUUGUAAAGCACUUUCAGCGAGGAGGAAGGUGGUGAGCUUAAUACGCUCAUCAAUUGACGUUACUCGCAGAAGAAGCACCGGCUAACUCCGUGCCAGCAGCCGCGGUAAUACGGAGGGUGCAAGCGUUAAUCGGAAUUACUGGGCGUAAAGCGCACGCAGGCGGUUUGUUAAGUCAGAUGUGAAAUCCCCGGGCUCAACCUGGGAACUGCAUUUGAAACUGGCAAGCUAGAGUCUCGUAGAGGGGGGUAGAAUUCCAGGUGUAGCGGUGAAAUGCGUAGAGAUCUGGAGGAAUACCGGUGGCGAAGGCGGCCCCCCUGGACGAAGACUGACGCUCAGGUGCGAAAGCGUGGGGCAGCAAACAGGAUUAGAUACCCUGGUAGUCCACGCUGUAAACGAUGUCGAUUUGGAGGUUGUGCCCUUGAGGCGUGGNUUCCGGAGCUAACG